AGUGAACGCUGGCGGUAGGCCUAACACAUGCAAGUCGAACGGCAGCACAGGAGAGCUUGCUCUCUGGGUGGCGAGUGGCGGACGGGUGAGGAAUACAUCGGAAUCUACUCUGUCGUGGGGGAUAACGUAGGGAAACUUACGCUAAUACCGCAUACGACCUACGGGUGAAAGCAGGGGAUCUUCGGACCUUGCGCGAUUGAAUGAGCCGAUGUCGGAUUAGCUAGUUGGCGGGGUAAAGGCCCACCAAGGCGACGAUCCGUAGCUGGUCUGAGAGAAUGAUCAGCCCAACUGGAACUGAGACCAGGUCCAGGCUCCUACGGGAGGCAGCAGUGGGGAAUAUUGGACAAUGGGCGCAAGCCUGAUCCAGCCAUACCGCGUGGGUGAAGAAGGCCUUCGGGUUGUAAAGCCCUUUUGUUGGGAAAGAAAUCCAGCUGGCUAAUACCCGGUUGGGAUGACGGUACCCAAAGAAUAAGCACCGGCUAACUUCGUGCCAGCAGCCGCCGCAG
rnacentral:rRNA from 1 species